GUGAGGAAUUUUCCGCAAUGGGCGAAAGCCUGACGGAGCAAUGCCGCGUGAAGGAUGAAGGCCUAUGGGUUGUAAACUUCUUUUCUCAGAAAAGAAUUAUGACGGUAUCUGAGGAAUAAGCAUCGGCUAACUCUGUGCCAGCAGCCGCGGUAAGACAGAGGAUGCAAGCGUUAUCCGGAAUGAUUGGGCGUAAAGCGUCUGUAGGUUGUUUAAAAAGUAUUCUGUCAAAGAUUAGGGCUUAACCCUAGAUAGGCAGAAUAAACUUUUACGCUAGAGUUUCGGAGAGGCAGAGGGAAUUCCCGGUGGAGCGGUGAAAUGCGUAGAUAUCGGGAGGAACACCAAAGGCGAAGGCACUCUGCUGGGCCAAUACUAACACUGAGAGACGAAAGCGAGGGGAGCAAAUGGGAUUAGAAACCCCAGUAGUCC
rnacentral:rRNA from 1 species